rnacentral:snRNA from 1 species
UGAAGAAAUUCAACCAAGCG